rnacentral:rRNA from 1 species
CGAUAGCUAAUACCGCAUAACAGUAGAUGUUGCAUGACAUUUGCUUAAAAGGUGCAAUUGCAUCACUACCAGAUGGACCUGCGUUGUAUUAGCUAGUUGGUGGGGUAACGGCUCACCAAGGCGACGAUACAUAGCCGACCUGAGAGGGUGAUCGGCCACACUGGGACUGAGACACGGCCCAGACUCCUACGGGAGGCAGCAGUAGGGAAUCUUCGGCAAUGGACGGAAGUCUGACCGAGCAACGCCGCGUGAGUGAAGAAGGUUUUCGGAUCGUAAAGCUCUGUUGUAAGAGAAGAACGAGUGUGAGAGUGGAAAGUUCACACUGUGACGGUAUCUUACCAGAAAGGGACGGCUAACUACGUGCCAGCAGCCGCGGUAAUACGUAGGUCCCGAGCGUUGUCCGGAUUUAUUGGGCGUAAAGCGAGCGCAGGCGGUUAGAUAAGUCUGAAGUUAAAGGCUGUGGCUUAACCAUAGUACGCUUUGGAAACUGUUUAACUUGAGUGCAAGAGGGGAGAGUGGAAUUCCAUGUGUAGCGGUGAAAUGCGUAGAUAUAUGGAGGAACACCGGUGGCGAA